UCUGUUUGAAAUGUCUCUGUCUUCCCUCUAUUUUCACUACUAACUUUCUAAACAGGAUGGCUGAACCUCAGUACUACUGACAUCUUGGUCCAGAAAGAAAGUGAACAGGAGGGGCUGCAGGUCUCCGUCCCUCCAACCAGGGGAGGAAGGGCACUUGAGCCUAGAAAUGUGGAAAGAAGGAAACUUUUUUGUCCUCAAAGAGAGCACUAUGGAAAGGCAAGACCCCACAAGACGAGUACUGCCACUAUCACCACCGCCUUCUUGAAGCCUCCGAACGCUGGGAACUCCUCCUCGGCCCUGUCUCUAACUCGCUCUCAAAGCGCCUUAUGUAACGCCAACCAAUACCAGGACGUUUCUGGUGGGUUGUCUUCACCGGCUUAGGAGCUCUUGGAGGGCAAGAUGAGGGUCUGAGUGCUCUUCCGAAGGGCCUCAGUGAACGCGUGCUUCAGCGCCGUACAUCGCAAGGGCAGGAGGCUCGGAACCUUUCAAAGGUCUCUCCACGCGGAAAUGCGCGGACGGGUGCCCCGAAGGGAGACGGGUGGCGCGCCGGCCACUUCCUCCCCACACCCCCCAAGAGGGGCGAGGUGCCGGCACACUGCCACUCGGUCUUCGCGUCCCGGGAGGGAAGACCACAGCUGCAGGAUACAGGGAGGGGCCGCAGAGCUCGGGGCCUUCCAGACGGGAAAAGUCAGCUUCACAAGAGUCACUCACGAGCCACUCCAUCUUUUCCAACGCGCUAGACCGAAAGCUGCCGCGGGGAAUGCCGGGACCUUCGGACGGCCUGACGCAUGCGCAACGGCUCAGCCCUCCCCCCCACCACCAAUGGGCGGGGCGGAGUACGCAGGCGCUUCCUAAAGGACCUUUCGGUUUCUCUGGUUUCCGCCUCCUCCUCACCAAUGAAUCGACAGGAUCUUCUUCGUGUCUUGCCCUGGAGCCAAUCGGUGUAUUUAAGCAAACGGCGGGUGGGGGGAGCGGGGCUUUAGGCGUUUGUUAACUCUCUCCUAUUGGUUACUGCUCUUCUGUUGGCCAGACGCUUCCGCUUCCGACUUGCAUGGGUUUUCUUUCCAAUGUAGGUGUUGCUCAGUGGGUUUUGCAGAUGGGACAGCGAAGUGGUUAAAGACCGUCGCGGUAUUGAUGUGCUACGCACACUUGUAAACACGUCCAUACUACGUCAUCCUGACAUCCUAUUAAGUCAAUAGAAUUACCUUUUUCGUCCUCGAGAAGAGGAAACCACGACCGUUUUUAAGUGACUGUCACGAGAGAACUAGGGUUUCCAACCCAAAGUUUUCUUCCCUGUUUCAGUUUUAAAUAUCCCGUGCGUACCGCAAACCGUUCUCCCAUGAAAAGAGUUUCCGCAUUUCUUAUUCCACAAGCUGCACUCUCUUCCCAGAGGAAAUAACUGUUACUUGUGUGUAUAUUUUUCUGAGCCUGCCUAUGAAAUUUUGCCCGUUUAUCUUGAAGGUUUUCUAUUUCGAUAUAUCGACCUCACCUUUUAUCUUUAGACUGCCCCAUUUAGUCAUAUACCAGAACGUUAUUCAAUCUUUAAUCAUUUCCAUUUUGGUGGACACUGAAAUACUUUUCCUAAUUUUGAUGUGUCUUUGUUAUCCUUGAUUGGGAUAUUAUGGAUAUAUUUUGAAGAAUGAGCUGAUAGAUUGGGAUGUGGAGUUUGAGGGAAGUUAGUGCAGACUCCUCUGUGGUCUCUCUGCCUUUAUGCUGGCCCAUUCAUCCAUCCAUCAUUUAUGAAGACACUGGUUGCCCAGUGAAGGAGUAUACUGGAUCAGGACAUAAAUGGAAGGAGGUGGGAAGUGAAAUAGACUAACUAAUCUCCCUACGAAUGCAUUCCACUUUGAUUAAAUAUAACACUGAGUAGUUUUUUCUAAACAAUCCUGCACGCAUUGUCUAUUUGAUCCUUAAAAUGAUCCUGCAAGGUAUUCUAUUCACUUUACAGAUGAUAAAAAGUGAGUGCUGGAGAGAUCAAAUCUACUAGCUACCAUAUCUCAUUAUUUCUGGAGUACAUAAAAAUGCUCAUACCUCCUUGUGUCAUGACUUUUCUGUUAUCUGCUGUGUCCCUACUUAGAGCGCAGAGUAACUAGACAGCUACAUUUUAGGAAAGAGAGAGCAGAAUGAUUGUGGAAAACGGCAAAUAUGACAAUUCGCUUUUUCUCCUCCAGUCCCCUGUGUUUUACUAUGACUCUAACUCCACGUUAGAUUAAAAAUAUUCUGUAAUUUUGAUGGGAAGUUCUUCAUUACUCCAAAGUGUUUAAGGAUUCCCUCUUUAUUUUCCUAUUUCCUUCCAAGUUACUUAGCAA